rnacentral:rRNA from 1 species
AGUAACACGUGGGUAACCUGCCUUAUAGUGGGGGAUAGCCUUUCGAAAGGAAGAUUAAUACCGCAUAAGAUUGUAGUAUCGCAUGAUAUAGCAAUUAAAGGAGCAAUUCGCUAUAAGAUGGACCCGCGUCGCAUUAGCUAGUUGGUGAGGUAAUGGCUCACCAAGGCGACGGUGCGUAGCCGACCUGAGAGGGUGAACGGCCACAUUGGGACUGAGACACGGCCCAGACUCCUACGGGAGGCAGCAUG